rnacentral:tRNA from 1 species
UGGCUGAGUGGUAAAGCGCUUGGCUUCCAAACAGGGGUCCUGGGUUCGAAUCCUGG